rnacentral:miRNA from 1 species
GUGUAAAAGUAAUUGUGGUUUUUACCAUUAAAAGUAAUGGCAAAAACUGCAAUUACUUU